rnacentral:rRNA from 1 species
UACGUAGGGUGCAAGCGUUAAUCGGAAUUACUGGGCAUAAAGCGUGCGCAGGCGGUGAUGUAAGACAGUUGUGAAAUCCCCGGGCUCAACCUGGGAACUGCAUCUGUGACUGCAUCGCUGGAGUACGGUAGAGGGGGAUGGAAUUCCGCGUGUAGCAGUGAAAUGCGUAGAUAUGCGGAGGAACACCGAUGGCGAAGGCAAUCCCCUGGACCUGUACUGACGCUCAUGCACGAAAGCGUGGGGAGCAAACAGG